UAAUACGUAGGAUGCGAGCGUUGUCCGGAUUUACUGGGCGUAAAGAGCUCGUAGGCGGGGACGCGCGUCCCGGAGGAAAUUCCAGGGCUCAACCCUGGAGCUUUCCGGGAUACGGCGUCUCUUGAGGGCAGGAGAGGAGAACAGAAUUCCCGGUGUAGCGGUGAAAUGCGUAGAUAUCGGGAGGAAUACCAGUGGCGAAGGCGGUUCUCUGGCCUGUCUCUGACGCUGAGGAGCGAAAGCGUGGGUAGCGAACGGG
rnacentral:rRNA from 1 species